AACGAACGCUGGCGGCAUGCCUAACACAUGCAAGUCGAACGAGACCUUCGGGUCUAGUGGCGCACGGGUGCGUAACGCGUGGGAACCUGCCCUUAGGUUCGGAAUAACUCCCCGAAAGGGGUGCUAAUACCGGAUAAUGUCUUCGGACCAAAGAUUUAUCGCCUUUGGAUGGGCCCGCGUUGGAUUAGCUAGUUGGUAGGGUAAAAGCCUACCAAGGCGACGAUCCAUAGCUGGUCUGAGAGGAUGAUCAGCCACACUGGGACUGAGACACGGCCCAGACUCCUACGGGAGGCAGCAGGGGGGAAUAUGGGACAAUGGGCGAAAGACUGAUCCAGCAAUGCCGCGUGAGUGAUGAAGGCCUUAGGGUUGUAAAGCUCUUUUACCCGGGAUGAUAAUGACAGUACCGGGAGAAUAAGCUCCGGCUAACUCCGU
rnacentral:rRNA from 1 species